UACGGAGGGGGCUAGCGUUGUUCGGAAUUACUGGGCGUAAAGCGCGCGUAGGCGGCUUUGUAAGUUAGAGGUGAAAGCCCGGAGCUCAACUCCGGAAUUGCCUUUAAGACUGCAUCGCUAGAAUCAUGGAGAGGUUAGUGGAAUUCCGAGUGUAGAGGUGAAAUUCGUAGAUAUUCGGAAGAACACCAGUGGCGAAGGCGACUAACUGGACAUGUAUUGACGCUGAGGUGCGAAAGCGUGGGUAGCAAACAGG
rnacentral:rRNA from 1 species